rnacentral:rRNA from 1 species
GAUGAACGCUGGCGGCGUGCCUAAUACAUGCCAGUCGAGCGAACAGACGAGGAGCUUGCUCCUCUGACGUUAGCGGCGGACGGGUGAGUAACACGUGGAUAACCUACCUAUAAGACUGGGAUAACUUCGGGAAACCGGAGCUAAUACCGGAUAAUAUAUUGAACCGCAUGGUUCAAUAGUGAAAGACGGUUUUGCUGUCACUUAUAGAUGGAUCCGCGCCUCAUUAGCUAGUUGGUAAGGUAACGGCUUACCAAGGCGACGAUGCGUAGCCGACCUGAGAGGGUGAUCGGCCACACUGGAACUGAGACACGGUCCAGACUCCUACGGGAGGCAGCAGUAGGGAAUCUUCCGCAAUGGGCGAAAGCCUGACGGAGCAACGCCGCGUGAGUGAUGAAGGUCUUCGGAUCGUAAAACUCUGUUAUUAGGGAAGAACAAAUGUGUAAGUAACUAUGCACGUCUUGACGGUACCUAAUCAGAAAGCCACGGCUAACUACGUG